CCUACGGGAGGCAGCAGUGGGGAAUAUUGGGCAAUGGGCGCAAGCCUGACCCAGCAACGCCGCGUGAAGGAAGAAGGCUUUCGGGUUGUAAACUUCUUUUCUCAGGGACGAAGCAAGUGACGGUACCUGAGGAAUAAGCCACGGCUAACUACGUGCCAGCAGCCGCGGUAAUACGUAGGGGGCAAGCGUUAUCCGGAUUUACUGGGUGUAAAGGGCGUGUAGGCGGGAAAGCAAGUCAGAUGUGAAAACCAUGGGCUCAACCUGUGGCCUGCAUUUGAAACUGUUUUUCUUGAGUACUGGGGAGGCAGACGGAAUUCCUAGUGUAGCGGUGAAAUGCGUAGAUAUUAGGAGGAACACCAGUGGCGAAGGCGGUCUGCUGGACAGCAACUGACGCUGAGGCGCGAAAGCGUGGGGAGCAAACAGGAUUAGAUACCCGUGUAGUC
rnacentral:rRNA from 1 species